rnacentral:lncRNA from 1 species
CUCUCAGCCCCCCUCACCACUCGUUAAGGAGGAUGGAGUACAAAGGAUCAGCUUGGAUGAGAAGGAGAAGAGAAUGUCAGUGUCACAGGUCACUUGCGUGGGAACACAGAGCCCUAGGCAGAAGACAGUGACUCAGAGCCCGGCCAGGUGAGUCAUCUGUGGACAGCAAAGCCCUCUCCACCGUCACGUCCCUCAGCACCGGAGUCCAACCACUUCUGGGAAGUGAAGCUGGAGCAGGUCUGUGUGGAGGAGGUAACUUCAUUGUUGGGAGCUAUUAAGACAACUCUAUUGUCUUGAUCUCCGAAUUGGGCCUCUCCCCCACCCCCAGAAGAAAAGGGGGUCAAAAGCAGGCCACCAACGCACGGUUCCAAGAACAACCACAGAAUGUUCCAGCCCUAAGUCAGCGCCAGAUGUCCUGACCUCAAGAUGUACCCUGAUACCACCAAGUUCCUGCUUCCCAGCGUAGUUGCCAAAAGAAAAAUUUCUGCUGCACCAUCCCUCCUGCUGAGAAGUACUUCCUCUUUUGCUUGUGCAUUUAAGCCUUGAGCCUUGCUGAAUAAAGUGAGACCUUGAUGC